AACGAACGCUGGCGGCAGGCUUAACACAUGCAAGUCGAACGCCCCGCAAGGGGAGUGGCAGACGGGUGAGUAACGCGUGGGAAUCUACCCAGUUCUACGGAACAACUGAGGGAAACUUCAGCUAAUACCGUAUACGCCCUACGGGGGAAAGAUUUAUCGGAAUUGGAUGAGCCCGCGUUGGAUUAGCUAGUUGGUGGGGUAAUGGCCUACCAAGGCGACGAUCCAUAGCUGGUCUGAGAGGAUGAUCAGCCACACUGGGACUGAGACACGGCCCAGACUCCUACGGGAGGCAGCAGUGGGGAAUAUUGGACAAUGGGCGCAAGCCUGAUCCAGCCGUGCCGCGUGAGUGAUGAAGGCCUUAGGGUUGUAAAGCUCUUUCAGUGGGGACGAUAGUGACGGUACCCACAGAAGAAGCCCCGGCUAACUUCGUGCCAGCCGCCGCCGUAAAAC
rnacentral:rRNA from 1 species